CCCUUGUACACACCGCCCGUCACGCCAUGGAAGCUGGGGGGACCUGAAGCCGGUGGGCUAACCCGCAAGGGGGGCAGCCGUCAAAGGUCAAUUCAGUGACUGGGGCGAAGUCGUAACAAGGUACCC
rnacentral:rRNA from 1 species